UCAUUGUAGCAUACAAGGCAUACGGCUCAGUAACGCGUAGUCAACCUAACCUAUGGACGGGAAUAACCUCGGGAAACUGAGAAUAAUGCCCGAUAGAACACUAUACCUGGAAUGGUUUGUGUUCCAAAUGAUUUAUCGCCAUAGGAUGGGACUGCGGCCUAUCAGUUUGUUGGUGAGGUAAUGGCCCACCAAGACUAUUACAGGUACGGGCUCUGAGAGGAGUAGCCCGGAGAUGGGUACUGAGACACGGACCCAGGCCCUAUGGGGCGCAGCAGGCGAGAAAACUUUGCAAUGUGCGAAAGCACGACAAGGUUAAUCCGAGUGAUUUGUGCUAAACGAAUCCUUUGUUAGUCCUAGAAACACUAACGAAUAAGGGGUGGGCAAGUUCUGGUGUCAGCCGCCGCGGUAAAACCAGCACCUCAAGUGGUCAGGAUGAUUAUUGGGCCUAAAGCAUCCGUAGCCGGCUCUGUAAGUUUUCGGUUAAAUCUGUACGCUUAACGUACAGGCUGCCGGGAAUACUGCAGAGCUAGGGAGUGGGAGAGGUAGACGGUACUCGGUAGGAAGUGGUAAAAUGCUUUGAUCUAUCGAUGACCACCUGUGGCGAACGCGGUCUACCAGAACACGUCCGACGGUGAGGGAUGAAAGCUGGGGGAGCAAACCGGAUUAGAUACCUGGUUAGUCCAGCUGUAACUAUGCAAGCUUCAGUGAUGCAUGGCUGUGUCCAUGCAGUUGCUUGCCAG
rnacentral:rRNA from 1 species